CAUACCACCCUGAACGCGCCCAAUCUCAUCUGAUCUCGGAAGCUAAGCAGGGUCGGGCCUGGUUAGUACUUGGAUGGGAGAAAUAAAAUUACCAGGUAAAAAAAAAU
rnacentral:rRNA from 1 species